rnacentral:lncRNA from 1 species
CUCUAAUAGUCACUGCAACCUUUCUACAAUGUUGGUGGAUAAAAGUCUACAAAGUUUACCUAAACAAAAACGUCAAGCAUGGCAGGCAAAAGAUAAAAGUAUCCCCACAAGAUUAUCUCCGUUACCCUGACACAUGUGGCUUAUUUUCCCCACUCCAGGGAUGAAAAAUGAAAAUGUAAGAGAAUUCUCACUUGGAAAUUCUAACCAAAGAGUAUCCUCUCUCCUGAUUUUAACAUAACCUGUUUAACUAUCACAGUGCUCAGAUAGGGUAGCUAGCAGAAAGUGGUGUGCGAGAGAGAAGAGAAGAGACUAACAGAGACAGACAGGAGAGACAGAACAGGUGAGGUUGCAAGCUCAGCUAUCUAGCCUGUUAUGACACCAAAGACCAGAUACAUUUGUUGAAAGAAGAAAACUUGAUGACCCGGAUGUGAUUCUGGUUUUUGAAAACAAGUAGUUAAUGCAAUCCAAGCCUAGCAAAGAGGUAGAUUUGGAGAUGUGUAUGAUAUAAUGAUGUUUAUAUUGACAUAGGUAAAGAUUUGUUUAAAUUAAACUUAUUAUCUCAGACCUGACUGUUGAUCACCAAGAGUUCCUUGAGAAUCCCAAGUCCCACAUUGCCUGCUCCCACUCACUUUCUUCCCCUCCCCCAUUUUUUCAGAAGCCAGAGGAUGCCUGCUGCAUCUUGCACUGUAGUGCAAACAGAUUCCCCCAAAGAGAGAGGAAGAUAAAAUGAAUUUAAAUUCCAAAGGGGUUCCAGUGCCGGUUUCCUAGUCCCCGAGUCAGCAAUGUGUUUGUGAAAAUUCAGCCUUUUUGUCUCCCAGUAAAAAGGAGCUAAAUCUACAUCGGUGGCCCAGUCUCGGAUUGCUAUUCUUUGCAUUUUCUAUUCGAGUGAAUGAGAGUGAAUGAAGUGGCCGGGACCCUUCAUUUGAUCUACUCAAUUGCAUAAAGUGACAGAAUUCUAAUAUAUUUGUUUAAUGCUCUUCAAUGGGCUUUCACUUUUUUUGCUUGCAAAUGAAGCAUCCGUGGGCAAAGUUUCAUCCCCCUUUAACACUGGGACAUAUUUCAUAACUGAGGCUGUGGUUUGCAGUAAUCUUGAGAGGAGUUUUAGACUCAAAAAGUGGAAAAUAAAGAAACAGAUGUGAAGUUAUUGUAAAUUCCUAGAGUGGGCUCUGGGGCUAUUGUGCCUCCACGGCGGGCGGUCCAGGGGCUGCGCCUUUCAUGCUGUAAUUGAAACAUAUUAAUUAGAUAAUUUGUUGUUAGUUUAAACGAAACAAAUGCAUCCCCUUUGAGGCUUCACAGCCGGUGGGUUGGGUGGUUUUUGUUUUGUUUUUGUUUGGGUGUCUCUGUGCAUAUGUGGCUUUUAGGAGAAAAAAAUUAAUUGACAUUUAUAUUAAGAAUUUAAGAAUAGAUCCUGAUCCUUUCUGUUUCUUAGCUGAAUACCUUUUACAAAGGGAAUUUUCAUUUGUAAAAGUAUAAACCCGCUCCUCACCCCUACACUCUGCAACCCCCCAGUUCCCCCAGUCUUGCAUAAACGAAUGUAAAUCUUACUCUCUGCAGCACCGGCUUGGACUCUUCCUCCCUCCUACUUCCCACCUCAUCCUUCUUGAGCACCUGGCCAUAUUUAUGCUUGCAAGACCCUCAGUGUUCUCAUCUCUUUAAAGGAAUUAAACUCACUGCUAUAGUAUUUAGGCCAUUUUGAUGAUCAUUUACUAGCACCACUCCUCAGGCUUUUCAAAACCCCCAAAUCAGAUAAUAGAAACAGUGAGAAUUUCUGCAGCUUCUCUCUUGAGAAAGUGCAUGAAAUUCAUUCAUUGUGUCAGCGCUUCCUCAAAUCACAGAGAAUCCUGUUUAAAAACUCAGUCAAAUGCAGAAUCAUGUAAAAAACCAAAAGUAAUAGAAUAGCCAAGUUUCCAAAUAAAAAACCCGAAAUCUAAGAAAUCAAUACUACUUGAAUUUACAAAAUAGAAAAGAAUAUCACUUAUCUCAGUUCUCAGGACAAAUACCACACAGACAUCUUCCCACUCCAUGGUGUUGUCUCUUCCAGUUUUAUUUUAAAGCUGUGUGUAUUGACUUUGGACUUGAGCCAGGUGAAAAGAUUUAACAUGACAAAGAGAGCCAUUGAAGGUAUCAUAGUUAUAAACUUCCUUAUUUGUGGGGCACUUCAGCUAAACAGGGCAUAAGUCUCAAAGCUGGGGGGUGAGGCGGGGAUGGAGUGGGGUGGAGGCAUGUGUGUUUGGACUGCCUUUGGAUUUCUGAUCAAGGUCAAAAUAUCAUCAAUGGAUUUUUUUUUUUACUUUACUCAUUCAACUUUGUCUGAGAAAAGAUGCCUGCAUUUGUGAAAGGAGGGCUCACAAUGCCCAAGUUAUUUCAUUCUUUGCAAUACACCAUGACGAACUUACCAGCUGAAAAGAGCAUUUUCAAAUACUGAGUUGAAAUCUCUCCUUUGCUAAAAAUCAGAAAUAGGAUCUGUAUCUUAUUUACCUCUAGGUAUUAAAUGUGCAGAUGUACACAUCACUCAUCUCUGAAUUCUAGUGCCUGUUGUAAGAGGAACAUUUAUUUAAGCUGAUGAUUUAUAAAAUGUUUGAGGCCCGUGUUAGCCCUCUAUACUUCUUUCAUCCCCAGCUUGAAUUCAGUGUUACCAAAUUCGAUGAGAUUAGCAUAUUCCAGAGAUGGCCUUAAUUUUCUUUUGCAGGAAACUGUGAAAACAUAUUUAAUUUUUUUUAAAAAAAUGUAUAUGAUUUCUUGUUGAGAACAAAGUUUUAAGAGUUUCCUAGCCCAGGGCGGUUAAGUUUUCCAGGCUUUCUUUAGCUGAUCUUGUUGAUAUAAUUGUGAAUUGGGCUUGAUGAAUGAGUUUAGUUGUCCCCUGUCUGACGAGCUUUAGUAGCUUCAUGCAUUUUAAUCAGUCCAAUGAUUCAUUUAUUUUCCACUUUUUUUUUUUUUGGCUGUGUGUGGGAUCCUUCUUUUUAAAAAAUGGUCAGAACAGGAUUAAUUACCCUUUGCAUUAAUCCUAAGUUGUUUUUCAGGUAGUCCUCUAAAUAUAUAAUGGUUGCAGGUGCUAAGGAUCCUCCUAUGAAGUACAGUGAUUGUGGUUUCUAUGUGGCUCCCUCUGUGUUGCACAAGGGUCUCUUGUUUAAUCAUUUUACACAGUAAAGUGUUAAUCACCAUUUAAGUUACUCUUUGCCUUGUAACUUCAUUAGGUGAAUACACAUCUCAUUCUGGAAAUAUUGUGACCCUUUCAAUAAAGUGUCAGUUAGCCUUGCGCCAUAAAUUCUCGGCAAAUUUUAAUUCUCUGCAAAAAUAUGAAGAAAAGCAAGUACUUAAAGUCAGGCAUUUGAAGUAACUUCAUUCAUAUCUUUAAAAUAAGUGCAUCAAGCAUUAUCUUCUCAGAGGAAGGAGUGAAAGAAAUCUGUUCAGUUCAAAGUGAACAGGUAUCUGGACAUGAAGGUGAACCUCUAGGUAAUUUCUAUUUAAAAAAUUUUAACAACCGCAAUAAUUUAAAGGAGCAAGGAACUGAAUACUCACACUAAAUAAGAUGCAUCAGAAUAUAAGCAUUGAGUAAGCAAGUCUGUUUUUACUUUUUAAGUCUCCAUAUUUUCUACCUGAUUUCUACAUAAGCCUUAUAUUUAUAAGUGCUAUAUUUCAUAAAAUGUAUAUUUCAAUAAAGACAAAAAUACAUAUAAAAUACUUAUUGUUUCAAAAACAGGUUUUCUUUCACCACUGCACCUGUGCACCUGAUCUUUAAUAGAAAUAGUCUGUUUCCUUUUUCCCUAUACACAAAUACCUUCAAAAUUCUAUCUGAAUAAUUUCUCCCACAAUCUCCAAGUGCAUAAGAGGAGGUUUGACUGUUUUCACAAUAUGAUAUGAAAAAGGCAAAUUACUCAGUGUAUUGCAGAAAGCAUGUUUAGGGAAGCAUUACAUCCAUCUUUUGCAAAAUUAUUUGUAGCAACUCUUCAAAAACACACAAAACUAAAAUUUGAAUUUACAUAUUUUAAUGAGAAAAUAUUAUUUGGACUAGGUCAUAAUUUAAUGUAGACACCCUUUUUUUUUAAAUCCUUUGUUUUAAAACAGGCAUGCUGGGAACAAGAACAUCAAUAUUUAAAAUGCCACGCUAAUUCUGUACAGGGAGGGAAAAUGAAAGGUAAAAAUUUUACAGCUCUGAUGACACUACAACUUUUUUUUUUUUUAACUUAAGCAGGUCACACCAGAACAACAGUUCGUUUUCCAGCCAAUUAUCUAAGAUUCUAAAGGAAUACAGCAAACAAAAGUGCAUUUUACACAGUGUAUAAUCAUUCCUAUUCACAAGUAUUUACAUCUCUUUGCAGCCCUUUAGCUUCUUGGAAAAGUUCUGGUAGCAAACAGAAAGACUUGUCCGUGGGAGAGCUAUCCGGUGACAUCCCUUCAUGUUACCAGUCAGCUUAUCUAAGUUCUUCCCGGGUUGCCCUUGAUGCUUUCUUGGUUUGGGCUUAUUUCAUUUUCUUUCCUUCUUUUUUUUUUUUUUUUUUCCCAACAAUAAAAUAAAUAGCUAAAAAGGUCUCUAAGUCAUCGGAAAGUUAACAUCCCAAUUAACUUUCCCAUCCCCACUUCCCUCCCUUUCUAAACCUGGCCAGAAAUGAAGAGUAAACAUUCACAUUACAACAGGUACUUAUAAUGUGGGCUUUGCCCGUUCGUCCGCCUAGCAAGACAGAUUCAAGUUCACUGUUUACAUAUUACUGGGCGCUUUGUAAACAAUACAAGGUUACUUUUAGUUUUGUUUUGCUGUGUGAGGACGAGCGUCGCUUUCUCAGCUUGGCAGCCUCUUUCCUAACUCCCAGCGCCUGGAGCCUCUGGAAGGAAACAAAACCCCAAACAACAACAAAAUCUCCGCAGAAGCCUAGGAGGCAGGGCCGCAACCCCGGGAAGCUGUGGUCGGCCCAGCCCCUGCCGGAUGGGCGGAGGCGAGUGGGGUAGGAAGAUUAGUGGCUCCUUUUUGCUGCAGAUUUCCAAGACGUAAAGAGAUCCGGCCCUCCCCUGCGCUGUUGCAGCCCUCGCGGGGAGGGGGUGUGGGGGGGAUCUGUUCCUGGAAACAUCUGAGGCAGUUUCUCUAGUCUUGAAACUGCGCAGAGUUCGGGGCUCCGCCGAUCUGGGCGGAGGGAAGACGCGCUUUUCUCGGCGAAGAGGGGGUGACAGGGUUUCCCCCGCCGGUCAAAUAGGAGGGGGUUUCGGGGCCUCAGGGAGGGGAUGGUUCGGCUCAGGUGGCCCCGGCCUUCCUUGAUGUGGGGGCGAGGACAACUCCCACGCGCCUCUCGGCCCAUCUGCAAGUUUGUGUUUGGUCUCCUGGGUCCAAAACAAAGUUCUCUUGGGGCAAGGCGGGUUGGCCGAAGGUGAAAUGAACAAGUUAGGGUGGCGGUCCCAGGUGGGGGCCGGCAGGACUGGGAGCCAGGGAAGGCGAGUGAGGUGGUGGGGAGGAGAACGAGAGGGGGCGUGGGCUCCUGCGGGUCAGUGCACCGCCACCGAGUGCAAGGCGGAGGCCGGGCUGGUGAGCGUUUCGCUGGGGGUGGCGGGGCUGCUUUGGCUGGUGGCUGUUUGCGAGGACGUGGGGCUGAGCGAGGGCGGCGAGUUCGAGAGCAAGGUGGGGAUGGGCGCUGGCAGCGCAGGCAGCGCGGGCACGGCGGCCGGCGUGGGCUUAAUGGGCACGGGGAUGGCGGGCAGCGUUUGGCCCGCCGCGUGGCACAGCGGCUUCAACGGCACGCCGUAGGCGCUGUAGUCGCCACUCGCCAUGGAGAUGGGGGUGGCCGAGUCGAUCAUGCCGGCGGAGCCAUACACGUGUGGCCAGCCGGUGCCCAGCGAGCUGCCCAUGGUAGUCAACUGGUUGGGGAGCGGGUAGGCAGCGGGCACCGGCUGCAUGGCGGAGAAGGCCAGCCCCCCAGGCAUCUUGUAUUCCCGCGCGAUGAUGUUCUCGAUGGCGAAGGGGUGCUUGAAGCCCGAGGGCUGCGCCACGCCGCCCAAGUUGUAGGCGGCGGCGGGCAUCUGUGGCAGGUGCGUGCCCGAGGCCGCCAGCGCGCUGAGCCGCAGCUUGGCCUGCUGCUGCAGGUACUGCGCCGCGUCGGCUGGCUUGCUGGGCGCCAGGUGGUCGGACUUAAGCACCUUGAAGCGCUUGCGGCGCCGCAGGAAGCUGCCGUUCUCGAACAUGUCCCCGCAGCUUGGGUGCAGCGCCCAGAAGCUGCCCUUGCCUGGCUGGUCCGGCCGCCGCGGGAUCUUGAUGAAGCAGUCGUUGAAGGAGAGGUUGUGGCGCAGACUGUUCUGCCAGCGCUGCGUGUUCUCCCUGUAGUAGGGGAAGCGGUCCAUGAUGAACUUGUAGAUCUCGCUCAGCGGCAGCAUCUUCUCGGGAGAGCUCUGGAUGGCCAUAGCGGUCAGCGAGAUGUACGAGUAGGGCGGCUUCUGGUCGCUGUACGUGUUGCGGCCGGGCCGAGGCAUCUUCUUCCUCGCCCUCUUCUUGCUCUGGGUCCGCGCGGGCCGGCGGACUGCUCGGAUCUGGGAAGGGGGUGGGUAAUAGGGAAAGGUAGCAUGGAUGCACAGAGACACCGGCGGGGUCAGCCAGACCGAGUAACAGACUUCGGGGGUCGGGGGUGGGGCCUGCGGCGCUCGAUCAGCCAGCGCCCGGACUCUUUCGCCAGCAACUUUGCGGGCUUAGUGGGCGCGGGAGGGGAAGCCGGCGAACGGCGCGAGGAUAGCCGGGAAGUAAGUCGGUACUGGGGCCAGAAUAGGGGGCAGGGACGGAACAGAGAGCUGCUCACCUUAAAGUUGCUUCAAGUUGCGCGUCCGCAUCCGGGAGGACGCCGCUGCGCGCCGCUUCUCUCUCGGCGCGCACUCGACGCGCACUCCGCGCGCAGCGUCCGGGUCCGGUUGGACUCGGCGCGAACCUGGGCUCUUGAGCUCAGCCCCGCAGCGUCCCGUGCCGCCCGGUCCGCGACGCUCCUGGAGCGUCCUGCGGGCGGCCGAGCUCGGCUGCGGAGUCCCGGCGCGGAUGGUGGCAGCGACGUGUUAGGGCUCCGGAGGGCGCUGCUGUGGGCUCCGCGUCUCCGCUGAGCUAGGUGGCUGCCUCCAUGUCCUCCCUCGAACCAUCUGAUAGUUUUAAGCGGUGACAGGAGCAGAAAAGACCCCUGUAGCGGCGCUUCAUUAAUGUGCCACUUCUUAGCUAUCAUAUGACAAUCGCCUUGGGAGGAGGAGGAAGAGGAGGGGGAGCGGGGGCUGCAGAGGGAGGGGACUGAGCGAGAAGGGAGAGCCCGGCCAGCUCUGGUUUCUUUCACACCUAUUUACAUGGACACCUUGGCCAAUAGGAAUCACUUCCAGCUCAAGACUGGGCGAGGGGGAAGAGCCUCGGCCACUGGGCAGGCAGCUGGACGCGCCGGCCGGUGUGCGCCGUGUGAAGGUAUGAGGAAGCGGCCGCCGCGGAAGAGGGAGCCAGGCGACCACUCACGUUCACAGAUGGAGCAGCCGCGCGGAUGAUGUUUGACAUGGAAAUUGCUUGGCUGGGGUAUUCUGUUUCCUCUGCGUUGUAUCCGGUUUGUAUCGUUAGGUAACUUUAGGCACGGCUUUCCCCUGAAGCCGACCCUUUUCCUGCGCUUAGCACUACCCGGGGUUGGUUGCAUGGGUUAUAAUAAUGAAAACACACCCUUGCCCCCCAGUCCCCGGAGAGUUAGGUCGAAAUUUGACUUGACUUUCCUAUGCAGCUGCUUCAGCUUUGUAUAGUUAGUGUGUAGCUUUGAAAAAGUGAUGGGGUUUACAAAUACUUUCAAAAUGUGAUUGGACAUCCCCAUGUAAGAACCCAUUUUGAAUGUAACUGUAUUGACCAAAUUUUUAAAAAUUAAAAUAGUGUAUCUGGGCGAAGAGUCCAGGUAUUUGCUUUAAAAGUCCUCCGGGAAUUUGGUUGGACACAGGAUGGAGGCUCAGGAGCUGUUGGGGCAAAUGUUGUGCGGACCUGGGGAGGGCCUGAGUUUGUUUGACACAGUUUAUCACCAGGUAAGCCUCAGGGGCUCUCGCUUUUCCCAGGUGGUUUGAAACUUUAGGACUCAGGCACAUCCUGGAAGUUUUCAUUUUACACCCGGAACUCCCCUUCCCAGCCCUCCCACCCCCCCAACCUCCCACCCCCCAUCCCCCAACUGCCGCUUUUUUUGGUAUGGAGAACUUAUUUAGGAUUUAGAGUGUAGCAAAAGCCGCCUGCGAUCCCACUAAGACAGCAGUAUCUUCUACAACUUGGGGAAAGAACCAUAGAGUUUUCCUUCUUGGGGAGCGGGGAAUGUGCCUUGGGUCACUCCGCCUGGUGCGAGCAGCAGGCUCCCUUCGGUUCGGAUUCGCCUUGGAAGGGUUAAAUGAAUCAUUAUUAUUAUUAUCAUUAUCCUCAUCGUCGUCGCUGCCGUCAUCAUCAUCAUCAUCAAAUUGCUAUGAAAUAAAUAGUGAGUCGACCCCGCCUGCAUGCACGCACUCUAUAAGUACACACCAGGAGUUCCCACGGGUUUCUGCACAUUCUCCGACCUUUAAGGUUUUUAAAAGACAUUCAUUUUACUGCGUUGUUAAAAACUCAAUACUUACAGCCCACACAGAAUCAUCUUCAAAGUCCAGAAAUGGGAGAACUUUUUUUUUCCCUAGACGUGGUGAUCGUAGAGAAUUCUGGGUGUUAAGUUUCAACACUUUAAGUGAUAUUAGAGCAUUAUUAGUGGAGCUGUUUGGGGUUAGCAUAAAAAAGAUCUUUCAGCGCGCGAAUGCACACACACACAAACACACACACACACAACUUCAUUAACUACAGUUUCGGAGGCGGUCAAUAACUCACCAAAACGUAACUUAAACACGAUGAAUUUAGGAGAUUAAACAAUUUCAUUAAUAUUGAAAUGGCUCUGGCUCUGGGCUGCCUCGGUUGAGAUGCAAGCGCACGUUUUUCAAUAUUAACAGAAGUGCUUGAAGAAAAGAAUAAUGUCACCUUCUUAAUUCGGAAAAAAUAACUGGGAGGAGGAGAUGGGUGCGAGGGGCUGGGGGAGGGAUGUUGACCUGUCUCUGGGGGUAUGGCUCGAGAAGGGCAGAUAAAUGUAUUGCCCUUCUCAGCAGAUAAACCACUUGGACUCGGGUGGAACCUCUGCCAAGCUUUGGCCGGAGGCAGCCGUACUCAUCCCAGCUACUCGCGCUUCAGGUCAUAACGAGGUGCGGCGUUUGGGGGGUUACUUUGUGCGGCCAGAUUCGGAUCGAAGGUCCUGGGGAGGAAGGAGCUGGGGAGUCCAAAGAGCUGGGGAGCUUGGGAGAUCCGUGAUGAGGAAUAGUGGGCAAGGCUUGUGUUUCCCAGAAUGGAAAGGCGCUGGUCCACAGCUUUCCUGCUCCCGAGUACAGCUGGCCUCGGUACAAAACAGUUACUGUGGGCAAGGCAGGAGCGCUCCUGCUGUGGAAGGGUACCAGCAUAGACUCCCCCAGGAAUUUUUAGGAUCCUCUUAGUAAAUAUGUGCAUCCGUUCAUACUGAUACGUAGACCGAUAAAAUAUCGUGGGCGGCUGGAAUUGGGAUGUAGAUAGGAGUGAAAGCUCUGCUCCGUUCCCCCAGUGACAGCCAGGAAGAUUCUUUUCUAACCGGCAUGGGUGCGUGUUGAGGGUGGGGAAUAAGGAGAGAGAAGUGUUUUCUUAUUUUAACAAUUGGCAUUUUGUUGCCCUGCAAAGAGGCCAUUGUAUGCCUGUCGAAAUCAUUGCUCAGAGUAAACAGGAGAUUAACUAAAUUCUAAGAGUAAAAACGUUCGGGUUAAAAAAAAAAGUCUGAAGUUGGAAUAAAUCUUUGUCUAUCUCCCCGGGAAAGUUGUCACCCCCAAGUUUGGAACAUGCGAGGAUACAAGUAGGAAUUUGUGUCUGAUGAAUCUUUAAAGUUUGGCUAGUGUGGAGAUAGGAGUUUGACGCAUAUUGCACACGACCAGGGUUACUUAAGUAAACCGAACCCAGUAGCACAAGUUUGCCUUGGAUGAGGAGAGAAGUUGUGAGAAACACAUUUAAAACUUGGGCUUUGCUACAAAGUUUUAUCUUGGUUCUGCUGGAGGUCUACAAAGCCCAGGGCGGGGAGGGAGGAUUUGCAUGUUAUUGACAGCAUUUUAAGACUGGUAUUACGAAAAGGAGGAGGGAAGGAGCACUUUCCAGAAAUCUUGAAAAGUGCAUCAGAGUCUAUUGUGCAGAACCCAAAGCAAACACGGGGUGGGGGUGGGGGGGGAGGCACAUCCGACCCGGUGGCUUAGGGAGUUGUUGGGAAAACUGUAUAAAAUACACAUAAGUCAAUUAUACCCAUGUGCAAACCAAAUGGAAAUCUCUUUCGUGCAAUAGCCAUUCAUCGCCUCCGCAGAGCCCACCACCGACCACCUUUCUGCUUGGAGAGUUCGCAAUAGCCUCUUUUCCCACAAGCUGGACCACACACGGCUACAGAUUUCGUAAUAAUUUAUGCUAAUUUCCCUCCAUAAAUCCACAAUUCGCUUCAGUGGCACCCGGGUUGCUGAGGGAGUAAAAAGGAGACAGAGGGGUGACAAAUACAAUAUUGAUUUUGAUUCCUUCUGUUGUCAAGCAGGUGUGUGUGUGCGUGAAGGGUGGAGCUGGGGCUUUGGGGGCGGGGGCUCCAGGAGAGGAAAUCUGUCCCUAGUCUCUGCCAGCCCCUCCAUGCACACUCCAGAAAAUAACGCGCCCUGGUUUGUUAAUAUUUACCAAACAUAGACGGGAGGCGGAGGGAAAGUACCCGGCAGCUUCCGAAGGUUUCCUAGGUGCCAAAAACAAUACCCGUCGUCCCCACUUGGAAAAUGAACUCUGCGCUGCCUGGAGCGUUUCGGCUAAGCCUUCCUUUGCCCGGUCCUCUUCUUUCUCCCUGAGUCUCCCUGAACUCCUCUCCGCUUCCUCAGUCUGAGUCUCUCCCUCCCUCUCCUUCUUUCCCCUCUCCUACAGCACUCCGGUCCUUCACUCCUCUUGACUACACUUUUCUCCUCUCCCUUCUGCUUUUUGCAUCUCCUUUACCAAAUUGACAGUGAAAUGUGCUGAGGGAGAGGGUCGAAGGCUGGUGCGCCGUCGAUAUCAGGUUUUAGGGCCUUGCGAGUCUCCCCUGCCCCGCCCCACCUCUCCAGGCCGCCUCCCGCAUUUGCCCCAGUGCUGCGCUCGCUCUGGGAACCCGCGCUAACGCAUCGCGCCUCUUUGUCCCAUCAGUCAUUCUUCAAAUCUGCACUUUGGUGGCGUGAAACGACUUAGCCUCCCUUUCAAAAGGAUUUCGUUCCUGGGGUAUUCAGCACUAAAACAAACUCCCUCAGCCUGUCAGUGGUCAAUUAAAAAAAUGGCCAUCCCGAGUGUCCUGGGGGCUGUUUGUCCUCGGAGUCUGUGCGCCUCCCCCACCAGCCCCCCAGCACCGCAAGGCCUGGCUUUAACGUGCUGGAUUUCGGGACCAGAGGGAACUAGCUCAGAAAGUUCUCCUUUCCCGGGGUCACCGGACAACAUCGACUUGCAGGUUUGGGUUUUGGGGGCGGGUGGGGGGCAGAGACGAGCACCCGGCGCAUGUCAGGGGAAACGUAUCCGCUACGACUCUCCCACGACUGCCUUUGGAGUUUGAGCCCGCUCUUCCAGGCCACUCCGACUGAGUCUGGCGGGAAAUCAAACUGCCCAAGGGAGAGAGGCGGGGGAGGGGACACACUUUCCGCUCUGGUGCCAACUGCCGACGGGCAGUGAAAGGACUCCGUACCCACCCACACCCCCUACCCCCGCCAGCGACCCCUGCACUGUGGUGCCACAGGAGCAUACUUUUUCCAACUAGUGGGGAAGAAUGUCUGCCGGGGAACUUUGGAGCCAGCUAUUUCAUCCGUUGGUGACUGGGCUACAAGGGGACCUUAACUCAUCACAGACAGGAAAAAACAAAACAAAAAACAAAAACAAAACAAAAAACAUUUGACAAGUAGUAUAUUGGCCAUAAUCAGAUCUCCCCUCCGGGCUCAAUCUUGUGGGGUUCUAAGACAAGAGUCUCCACUUCCUGUUCACCCUUUACUCCCAUCCAAACUGGGGGGCUCAACUUCAAGGGUGUCAGUUUUUUAGUCCCCACCAGCAUAACUUGUCCAGCGGUGAAUAGGGCCUCUGGCUGUGGCUGGGGCACCUAGAGUUAAAUCUGUGUUUUGCUUGGGAGUGAGGUAAAGGGAGGCAACACCCCACACAUUUUAAUAGUAUAUCCCAAGCAGCUGCUGCGGUUUGGAGAGCGUGGAAGGCCCAGUUUCCCCUCUACCUCAAGCAUAAAAUAAAGAGUAGCCAGAGUUAGGUGCUGGUGCAGCUUGAUCCCCAUCCCCAAGAGGUGCCACCCGCUCUCCUCUUCCCCCUCCCCCAUCAUGGUGAGCAAGCAAUUUCAAUGCCUGAGAAAACAACUCUCCCUGCUCAGCACAAUGCCUUCUCUUUGGAAUUGGUUUGCUAAAUACCAUUUGAUGUUUGCUUGGCUGUGAUUUGUUCUGAGACUUCAAGGCUUUAAAAUCUUUGUUUCCAAAUCAAAUCCCUCCUUUGCACAAACAGUUGCAUAGCUUUAAAUUGGGCAUUACCAUGCUCACAAAUGUAUUUGUUUAAAAAGUUAUUUGCAAAAGGGUGGUGGAAGGCUUUUUGUGUUGUUGCUAAACCCUCCCCAUAAGUUUUGCUCUGUACUGUGUGAAAUAGAAGAAGCAAUUCAAAUCUAUUAUUAUUAUUGGAGGAAAUAUUGCUAAAGCCACCUUGGUAUUGAAGGGAUUAACUUGCUUUUCUCCCAGCCCCUAACUCUGGGGUUAAGACAGCAGUAGAUCAACUGUAUAAUGUGUGCACUGUUCGCUCAUUUGUACAAGCAGAACAAAGGUUGGACUAAGCCAAAUUGCAUUGCACUUGUGAACCGAGUCCCGAUGUGAAGUAUCUUUUACAGCGGGGGGAAUGAGAACAAUUUCGUGUAUGUCUAAAAGGGAAUAACAAAGCCACUUUCUCGAGCAUCUCAAAGUGAAGUAGCGAGGCGUGACAUUCCCAGGGUGAGAAGGGACAAAAGCAGGGUCAGGGAGAUGAAAAAGAGAAUCAAACAGCCACUUUCACAUGUCUGCCCUCAACUGCUGCACCUCUCCAUAAUAGGAAACAAAUGUUGUAAAAGGGGGGAUUGCUCCCAUUCAUUCAAAAUAGCAAAUGAUAGCUAAACAACAUUGUCAAAACUGAAUCAACUUCUGUGCAGUACCACCCAGAAAAAGGUAUUGUGUUUUGUUUAAUAGCGGGGUGGAGCAAAGGGUUUUUUUUUUUAAAGUGGGGAGGGAGGGAGAGAAAAAUCAUCCUAUACUGUUCAUAUUAAUUUUCUUUGUCAAAAAUUAUUGGUUUGCUGAGUUUUUUAAAAAAUCAGUAUUUCUGGCUGGGCACCCACUCUUAAAUGUUAUUUUUGGGGGAGGAAUUUUGGAAAAGCUGCAACAGGAAAGUGAUUUUUAGCUUUAUAAAGUGUUUUAAAGCUUCCAAUAAGUGGGAAAAACGGGUUUAAGCUCCUUCAAAUGUAGGAUCUGGGAAAAAUAAGUUACUGAUUGAAUAGAUUCAGGUAAAUCCCGGACAGUAGGCUAAAAUGUGCUUUGCUAAUAAAUUGGAAUAAAAUCGAUGGGGGGGGGCAACUGCAGAUAUGUGAAAUGAAGAAUAUUUUGCAUCUAUAAUAUAUAUUUUUUUGGUGGAUCCCUCUGCUUUAAUUUGUUUUGAAACCGGAUAACCUAUAGAUCUUCAGCCUUAAAACCCUGCGCUUCUGCUUUGUUUGUUCAGGCUGACCAGGGAGGAGAGCUUAACCAGGGUGAACGUGUGUAGUAUGUGUUUUCUUAAUGGCAGAAGCAGGUCCCUCUCUCCCUUUCUCCUUCUCUCCCCCUCUCUCUCUGCUUUUUGUUUUCUUGUCUCCAUGCGUCCCCCGCUGAGUUGCCACCCACAAAGCGGGUUUGAAAAAGAAAGAGAGAAAAGAAAGAAAGCGGCUGAUCCGUGCUGGCCUCCCCCAGCUAAGAAUGGCUAGGGGGCGGGGCUUGGCGGGGCCUGCAGCGCAGCCAGGCGCUCGCCGCCCCUCCGCGGCAGAGUCCUUCCGCUCAUUUCGUGCUCACCUGGGACUAGCGCGCCGCUUCGUGGGUCCUAGCGCGCGGUGCCAACCCCAGCGCGGUGCAAACCCCCCCGCGGUGCACUCUGGCCCUCCUCGCGGCCGGCCUCUGCUUUGGGCGCUCUAGCAGCGCGGGGGCUGUUGGCUGACUCUUGGUGGGUUGCAGUUAACUGACACAGCUUGUCAGCAGGGGAAAACCAGGUUGCCCCAAGGACUUACCGACGCCCCAGAAAUAGACUCCUGCCCCCUGCGUUCCUUUCCCCCAUUUUCUCCCUCCCUCUCCCCACCCCUUCUCAUUCCCGCUAACCUUUUCCCCUCUACCCUCCUUCUCUCGCCUUUUUUCUCAGCCUACAGUUUCAAUUCCAGCACAGGUAUGAACACCAGAUUUUAGGUCAGCAAACUGACUCGAGGCAUUCCCAGUAGCGCAAACUUUCCGGGAUUGGCAGGGCAUUUUCUUCUGUGCUCAGCUGGCCUAACCAAAAUAAAGGAGCUAAAGAAGGGAGGGAGGAAGAGAAGAGAGAAGCAGAAAACAGCCCCAGCAUCCCCCCCUGCAGCGCAUCCUGGCACACCUCCGCGGCGUAGCGGUAGGCUACAUCAGGUGGUUGGCGAGUGGGGUAAAUCAUUAACCCGAUCUUCAGAGGAUCGGCGAGGUUUUUCGAAAACUUUGCCACUUAGAGUUGCGGCUGACGUCGUUCACUGGCCCGACGCAAGAGACCUUAGUUGGCACCCGCCCCCGCAUUUAGUUUUACUUAAUAUUUUUACUGGGAAAGAAUCUUGUAAAUAUAUUUAUAUACAAUAUUUAUGUACUUAAAAUAACCAUUAAGUCUGCACUGCCACUUUUCUCUUAAAGUGUCACCUCAUCUCCAUCUUUUGGAUAAAUCUAGAACCACGAAGGAUUUAAUAAUUCCAAGAAGGCUGAUCCAGCAAGUGAUUUUCUUUGGAGCGGAUAACCAUUUGUUCAUAGCCAUAGCGAUUUGAUUGGUGGAGCCGGUGGCCUCCCUUAGCCAAGGUAGGCUGUCUUUUCUUCCCUCGCCGGCAGUAAAGGAAACCUUCUCGUCACUUACUUCACCCCUGAAAGCAGUUUGGGUUCACAGUCUUUAAGGAACACUCCGGAAUACCAGGAGUUUGGGGAGGAUAUUGAUCUUUCCGUUCCGCCCAUCCAUCCUCUUUUUACCGAUUUUUUUUUAAUUGCAAAGAAAAAAAAAAGCUACACACAAACGAGAUAAAGUAGAUGAACCAUAGUGAGACAGUUGCUUCUUUUUCUUCAAGUCUUUUAUCGCUUCCCAAAAGGACAGAGGGAACUGUGGGCCUCGUAGGUUUCCCAGAUUUUCCAUAGUUGUUAGGAACUUAGGUUUUCCUUCGCGUCCGCUUCCCCGCGACCUGUUGAUGACUCCGAGUGGCGGAGCACGAAGCUGUGCGUUGAAGUUGGUUAUGUAAACUGCUUGUGUAUUUCACAUUAUCAUCGCGCUGUCUGGAGGCAAUGUAGAUUUUCUAAAGAUCUAAUGAAUAAACAACCAGCAACUGCUGGCGGUGUAAUUUACAUUGUUAAUUCCUACAUGUGUAUAAUAAAUAUGCAUUUGUAUGCCUUCAAAUAAACUCUUUUCAGUUUCUAACCUGUGGUGAUUUUUUUCCCCCCAAAAAGAAGGGGGUGGGGGACUUGUGUUUCCAAGGGAGGAGAGUUUAUUUCUCUUGCAUUAUCUGGUAAAAAUGGCUGUGAUGUGGAGCCCAGAUGUAGGGUCCGCAGCCUCGAUGCUGUGCUUUCUACCUGCCGAGGUAAGCUGGGCUGGAAUGCUCCCCGGCACGGGCACUGGACUCGCCAAGAAAGGGAGAAUGCGCCCAGGAAUUUAGCUGCGCAGUUUUGAAGACCGCAGCGCUUCCUGAGGGUUGUGGGACCUGGAUCCCGUCAUUUUCGGGAUCCAAGCGUCCUCCCCGGAACUGUCGCCCUCCCCCAAAGAGAAGUGUGAGCGACUUCUCUCGGGUCGCAAGCUGGGUUGGGAGAGUUGGGGCUGCUGCGGCGUCCACAACUCCUGCAAAAACUUUCCCUGGGAAUUUCCGGACCUACGAUGUUUCCCCAAGUGCCCUCUGUAGACAGCACUUCAGACCAGCCCCGGGACCAUGACCCGGACCAGGACCGCAGGGAGGAGAGGGCCCUGGGUCAGGGGCCGGGAUCCUAGACUGCCCAUCAGCCACUUCCUCCGGUAGGACAACACCGCGCAGGGUAGCAGGAGCUCGGACGCACCUAGGAGCUAUGGCCUCCCGAGCCGCCGGGUUUGGACCCAGCGUAGCCGCUGCUUUCUGAAGCUGAACGCCCUCCCUGCGCGUCCCAUGCCACUUAUUUCAGGCUGGGCGCCGACAUUUGGUAUCUCUCCCC